rnacentral:tRNA from 1 species
GGGGUCGUCGGCUAGGCCUUUGGUCUAAUCAUGUGGACCAAGGGGGCUAGUCUGGUCUAGGCUUUCAGCCUUGGGCGCUGAAGACCCCCGGUUCAAAUCCGGGCGACCCCACCA